CCACCGACAGUGGCAACGAAGACCGUCGAAGAUGGGAAGUGGUUGUUCGGGUGGAGAUGUGAGUGUGUUGGAAGGGAGGAAGAAAAUUAAAAAAAAAAAAAAAAGGGUUGUGGAGUUGGUCUCGUGGGUGGUAGUGUGUGGGUAGGAAGAAAAGAAAUGGAAUAAGCAAAAAAAAAAAAAAAUGGAGGAAAAGAAAUGGGUUGUG
rnacentral:lncRNA from 1 species